CCAAGAGCCGAGCUUCUCGCGCGCCUCCGUGAAAGGUAUGCAGGCUCCAGCAUGCCUGCCAACCCUAAAUUUAGGUCUGCAUCGCGCGGUUGCGCGGCAACGCCUGUGCGGGGCUUUCCUUGCCUCUUACCCCGGGUAAGCGCUGUUGCGCCACCUUCAAACGAAGAGGCUACGGCGGCGGUGGCUCGGUUACUAUUCCGUACGUGUGGUUGUACGGCCGCCCCGUGGUGUGCCUUGGCAGUGGCGGCGAGCACCUGUGGAGCUGUCGUCAUCAAUGGUUGGGCCAUGCGCCGGGCACGUAUCCGGGGGUGGGAGCGGGUUGAGGGUGCUGCAUAUUAU
rnacentral:telomerase_RNA from 1 species